GCACUUCAGUAUGUGUAUGUAAAUUUGAAAGCAUGGAGGAAUAUAGAAUGGAAUUAGGACAAACUUCAGGUUGAAGAAUCAAUUUCAGGAUACAGUUCAUAUAGCCAGAAGGAGGAAAUAUGGUGAUUUGGCUUAGUUAACUACAUACUCAAAGCUGGUGUGUGACGGAUGGUUAUCAAUAUUCCAGACUCACAUGAACCUCAAAAAGAAUCUGGAGAUCUGGGAGAAGGGAAAAGGGAACAGACAAUUAGAAAGGCAUCCCCAAAUAUCCACUGA
rnacentral:lncRNA from 1 species